GCCCGCGUUGUCUAAUGGUUAUGACGUCAGACUUCUACCAGGCAACGUAGAUCUGGAGGUUGCGGGUUCGAGUCCCGCCGUGGGUU